rnacentral:lncRNA from 1 species
GGGGGGGGCAGGCAGGGAAAGGGGGUGCUCAGGAGGGGCUUGGGGAGCGGGUGGGGGCCAGCACCGUCCUGGAUGUGCCGGAGCCCUUGGCACCAGCCCCCGGCUGCUCCGUGUGUCCGGUGUUGGGCCUGGCACGAGCGGGAGGUUGUGUGUCCCCGGGAUCCUCCUUGCACCCCAGGGGGGGUCUGUGGAUUUAUCCCCGCCAGCCCCCACCCCAUUGCCCCGUGCUCGGAGCCCUGUCUGUGUCUGUCCGUCCUCCCCACCCCGUGUCUGUGUGUCCCCGUGGGCUGUGGCCGUCGUUCCUCCCUGGUUUCCUGCGUCUCCUCCCGUUUUCCCGUCACGUGCGUCUCCGUUUCCCCUCCGGCGUUGCCCCCCAUCACCCCAGGCCUGGCAGUGGGUCCCGGCCGUGCCCACCCGGUGCCUCGGCCGAGCCCGCGGUGACUCGGGGCUCGUGCCAUGGCGUGGUGGCCACCCAUCGCCACCAAAGCGCCUUUGAGGUGCCGUUUGCACCCCGAGACUCAGGUGUGGGAGUUAAUUUACUCUGUGGCUGCUUAACGAUGGUGCUCUCCUGUGGUCUGAGCGGCCUGAGCCGGGCCAGGGCCUCUCGGGCUGUCCCCGUCCCUCUGUCCGCCAGGCCGGGCUCCGUCCGUCUGUCCGGCUGUUUCCCGUCUUCGCCAUUUCCUUUCCCCGUGGGUCUGGGUCAGCCUUUGUCCCUCUGUCAGCCCCAACCCGGCUGUUUCCGUCCCCGUCCCUGCCUGUGCCAGUCCCCGGCACUCCUGUCCCCCUGUCCUGGUGUUUCCUGUCCGUGUGUCCGCUCCUCCUCCUACAUCGUCUGUCCUGCCAUCCCCGUCCUGCCGUCCCCGUCCUGCUGUCCCUCUGCCCACUCCCUCUGUGCCCCCAGUCCAUGUCCCUCUGUCCUGGCUUAUCCUUGUCCCUGGGUGCCCUAUCCCUGUCCUGGUUUCUGGAUGUGUUUCUUGUCUCAUCCCAGUCCCCGGGUGUCCCCUGUCCCAGUCCCUGAAUGUCCCCCUUGCUUGGUCCUGGUCCCUGGGUGUCCCCUACCCAUCCCUGGGUGUCCCAUCCUUGGGUGUCCCCGAAUGUCCCUUGCCUACUCCAGGUCCCUGGGUGUCCCCUACCCAUCCCUGAGUGUCCUAUCCCCUUAUGUCCCCUGCCUUGUCCCUGGGUGUCCCCUAACCACCCCUGGGUGUCCCUUGCCUAGUCCCUGUGUGUCCCCGACCCAUCCCCUUAUGUCCCUUGUCUUGUCCCUGGGUGUCCCCUGCCCAUCCUUCUUGCCUCAUCCCAGUCCCCGGGUGUCCCCUGUCCCAGUCCCUGAAUGUCCCCCUUGCUUGGUCCUGGUCCCUGGGUGUCCCCUACCCAUCCCUGAGUGUCCUAUCCCCUUAUGUCCCCUGCCUUGUCCCUGGGUGUCCCCUAACCACCCCUGGGUGUCCCAUCCCAGUCCUGGUCCCUGGGUGUCCCAUGCCUUGUCCCUGUGUGUCCCCUACCCAUCCCCUUAUGUCCCUUGUUUUGUCCCUGGGUGUCCCCUACCCAUCCCUGAGUGUCCCAUCCCUGAGUGUCCCAUCCCUGUCCUGGUGCCUGGGUGUCCCUUGCCUGGUCCCUGGUGUCCCCUACCCCUCCCUGAGUGUCCCAUCCCUGAGUGUCCCAUCCCUGUCCCAUCCCCUUCUGUCCCCUGCCUUGUCCCCGGGUGUCCCCUACCCACCCCUGGGUGUCCCCAAAUGUCCCUUGCCUGCUCCAGGUCCCCGGGUGUCCCCUGCCCAUCCCGGUCCCCGGCCUGUUCUCGCUCUGGUCCCCGUCCCGGCGCUCCCUCGGUGCCGGUCCCGGUGCCGGUGGCCUCGGUCCCUCCCGUCGGG